UAUAUAUAUAAAGGGAUAUAUUUUGCUAUAUUAGAAUUUAGAGGGACUAAUAUGUUAGCCUCCCUCCCAUAACCUUUCCAUCGGAGCAGAAACAGAAGGACGAUCGGUAAGUCAAUUCAUGGAUGCUGAAAACGUAGGGGACGGCCACACCUUCUUUUACAUGCGAAAGCAAGCUAUGGUGGAUUAUGGCGGCAGCAAUCGUUGACUCUGACGUCCGUUUUGUAUGAACAUCUCACGAGUUGAACCAAAGUCUGAGAUCGUCAAAGUAGGAAAGCAGUGGUCUUCGUCAACAACAGCUUCUUUUGAAGGGAUUUGACAACAAGGGCUAUUAACUUGCCGACCAACUGUUCGACGGUGGUUCGAGGCGAGGAAUACUUCGUCAAGUGUGUCGCAUCAGAGCAGAGCAUCGGAUGAUGGUACAAAACUAAACUCCGUUUAGAAAGAUAGUUUAGAUGGGAUCCCAUAGCUCGUUUCCUUCGGAUCAUUGAUUCGACUCGAAUUGGAUUAAAAUAUUAUAUUAUUUUAUUUUGAGAAA